rnacentral:rRNA from 1 species
GACGAACGCUGGCGGCGUGCUUAACACAUGCAAGUCGAACGGAAAGGCCCUGCUUUUGUGGGGGGCUCGAGUGGCGAACGGGUGAGUAACACGUGAGUAACCUGCCCUUGACUUUGGGAUAACUUCAGGAAACUGGGGCUAAUACCGGAUAGGAGCUCCUGCUGCAUGGUGGGGGUUGGAAAGUUUCGGCGGUUGGGGAUGGACUCGCGGCUUAUCAGCUUGUUGGUGGGGUAGUGGCUUACCAAGGCUUUGACGGGUAGCCGGCCUGAGAGGGUGACCGGCCACACUGGGACUGAGAUACGGCCCAGACUCCUCCGGGAGGCAGCAGUGGGGAAUAUUGCACAAUGGGCCGAAGCCUGAUGCAGCAACGCCGCGUGCGGGAUGACGGCCUUCGGGUUGUAAACCGCUUUCGCCUGUGACGAAGCGUGAGUGAAGGUAAUGGGUAAAGAAGCACCGGCUAACUACGUG